AUAGCGCAGGACUUUUUUGACAGCCUAAUAUUUAUCAUGCCUACUUUUUCUCGAAUUCCAAUCGCGACGGUAAAGAAUUAAACUUGGGAAGCCUGACAAGAUCUCCAAUCGCAAAGGCGCAAAAUUACUCUUGGGAAACCUGACAAGGCGCUGUCUGAAGAGUUUGUUUAUGUCCAUAAUUCAAUUCCUUCGUAUUAUCAACUGUUGGAGAUUCUAUGUCGAUUCAUUGGCUAGUAUGUUUGUAUGUUAAAAGCUAUACUUACAUUUUGGAUUAUAUUUUGAAUCCUGUCCAGACUGAGGACUGGUCACUGCUCGGUCUCACACGGAUUCAAUAGAGGACCCUUCCAUCUACUCUGCGACUUCUGCCAAAUCCACAACUCCGUCGAGCUCUUCUUGUGUGGUUGCCCGAAAUUUGAUGAUCUGCGAAAACUUCAUGCAAUCAGCGGGAGUGUAAGAGACAUCUUGAGGAACGAUUCAGCAAGAGUAGCAGCGCUUGUCUGCUACCUAAAAGAUGCCGAACUAUUUUUUAAGAUUUAGCGUCUGAACAAUGGAUCAGUCAAGAAGAUCCUUGUUCCUUCCCCUCCACGAUGAAUGGGAAUAAGAACACUGCGGCAUCUACAACGGCACGGCUUCCUCUCCACUGGCCUGGAGUCAUGGUCCGAUUACAUCCUCGCCAUCUGGUCCAAGAAGCAAACAGCAAGUUUAUUUAUUUAUUUACCAUCUUUGGUCACAGACCACACAGACUAUUUAGACAUUCUUAAUUCUAUCUUUAAAAACUAGUCUACUUAUGUUGAAAUCAAAAAUAUCGUGCACAUCGUUAAAAAGCCUACAGCAUCUAUCUAGCGGAUUGUUAUAUCCGUAUGUAGUACGGUGCCCUUGAACUCUGAGAAAGGAAGUGCUUCGGAGUUGGCGGUUCGGAACGUGAAUAUUAAUAUUUUGCAGUAUGCUGCCGCAGUCGAUGUUGUUGCUUAGUACGUCGUAGAUGAACAGCCUUUGCAGAAAACUACGCCGGCUCGACAGAGUUUGGAGUCCGAUGAGCGCGCAUCGAUGUUCGUAAGGCGGUAGAUUGUCGGGAUUUGUCCAUGGGAGCCGUCGUAAUGCACUUCUUAUAAAACGUUUCUGGAUUUUUUCGAUACGUGUUACGUGCACACUGUGAUACGGGGCCCAGAUCUGCACUCCAUAUUCUAAUACGCUGCGAACCAGAGAACAGUACAGUGACUUCAUGGCAUGUACGUCGUCAAAUUGCGCUGUAUUUCUUCUCAGGAAGCCAAGCAUGGAGUUUGCUUUAGUGACUGUCAUCGAUAUGUGCUCGUUGAAUCUCAAUUUCCUGUCUAAAAGUAGCCCAAGGUCAUUGAUAGAGCAUACUCUCACAAGCGGUGACUCAUUCAUCGAAUAUUCGAACGUGACCGGUGUUCGACUUCGGCUGAAGGUGAUGAUUUUGCAUUUGGCUGGGUUUGCCAACAUUCCGUUCAUCUUACACCACGAUGACAAGCGUUCAAUAUCAGCUUGCAGAGCCAGGCAAUCAACCGUCGUCUUGAUAAUGCGGUAGAGUUUUAGGUCAUCUGCAUACAAGAGCUUGCAGCAGCUUAGGUGGUCGCAUACAUCGUUUAAAAAAAGUAUAAAGAUGAGAGGACCAAGGUGACUACCCUGAGGAACCCCGGAUGGUAGUUGAAACGCAUUCGAUGUGGCAUCGUGAACCUUCACGAAAGCUUUCCUGGACGAAAGGUACGACUCUAUCCAGCGAACAAUCCACGAAGGAAGACCGAGGCGGCUCAGUUUUGUGAUAGCGAGACCAUGCGGAACUUUGUCGAACGCCUUGGAGAAAUCGAUAUACACGGCAUCAACUUGACGACGCUUCUCGAUGGCACCAACCAGAGUGUUAGUGAAGGUCAUCAGAUUGGUAAUAAUGGAGCGUUUCUUCAUAAACCCGUGCUGAAAUUCCGAGAUUAACGAUCGGACUGCCGUGUACAGCUUAUCGUGUAGCAGUCUUUCCAGGACUUUCGCCAAACAGUCCAGUAUCGAGAUUGGACGGUAGUUUUCCACGCUGUGAAUGUUUCCAGAUUUGAAGAUCGGGGUUAUGGAUGCUAGCUUCCAUGACUCAGGGAAGACGCCGUCAAGAAGUGAUCGAUUGAAAAUAAACUUCACAGGGAUGGUCAAUGAUGCAGCACAAUUCCUAAUGAAGGAAGGUGGAAUUCGAUCCGGACCAGGACCUUUCGAGGCGUCAACAAAAGAGAGGGCUUUGAAAAUAUCGUCGUGGCUGAAGGUGAUUUGCUGUAGACGAAUAUCAAAACUCGGCAAGUUAUCGAUGUAUUCCUGCGGAGUCGGAGCCUGAUCGACUUCGUAAACGGUUCGGAAGAAUUCCGCAAAGAGAUUAGCAGAGCUAGCAGCGUCAGAGGAGCUUUGACUACAGUAUGUAACGUCCACUGGAAUACGUGCAGAGCCUUUUCGGGAAUUUACGAAAUUCCAGAAAGAUGAUGGAUUUAUCUUGAAACUACUCUGCAAAUUGUCAAUGUACUGCCGAAAGCUAAGUUCAUGUAAACCACUAUACUCGGCUUCAGCCGACUGUACAACAGUUUUAUUAGCAGCUGUUUUGGAGCGGAAAUAACGUUUCCGAGCUUUUCGCAGACGGUUACGCAGAUUACGGAGUUCGGAAUUCCACCAUGGUUGUGUGAAAUUUAGGGAAGGCUUACAUCUUUUAACAGGAACGGUGUCUUGAAUUAUUUGAUAUAUGUUGUCGUAGAAGGCAGAGACGGCUGCAUCAAUGUCAGAGAGGUGAAGAAGCUCUGUCCAAUUCAACGAGCAGAUUCGCUCGUUGAUAGCGUUAAAGUCACACCGUGCAAAGUCAUACUCACUGCGAGCUGCUGGAACACCGGGCGGGCGGAUCUGGCCAGGCGAAUGGACGUCAAGUUUUAAAAGUAACGGCUUAUGAUGAUCGUCGAUUUUUAAAAUAGCAGAUGGUGGAUCAAACAGCUCAAUACCGUCUGAAUCGCUAACGAAUACCAGGUCAAGUAACUUGCCAUUCACAUUGAAUAGAUCGUUGAUUUGCUUGAGUCCAACGGACAAAAUGGACUCGACAAGAGCAAGUUCUUGUUCAGACGAUGCAUUGAGUGGCAACAGGCCGUUGAUGUCUUCUUCGAAAUUCCACACUAGAUUUGGUAGGUUAUAAUCACCCACGACGAUAGUUGAAUCAUGAGGCUUUGCCAUAUCUAUAAGUUGUUGCACAGACUCGGCGUGUUUGGUAUAAAUAUCCAGAUGGCUGUUGGGACGAAUAUAGAUGCAGCAUAGGAAGAGCGAUCGAUGUAGAAGAACAAUUUGUACGGCAAUUUGUUCAAGGUUCUCACUGUCUAACAGAUGCACGGAUUUGCAAUUAAGUCUGGGAUUGACAGCAAUCAAAACGCCGCCGCCGCGUUGAAAUGAGCUGGUGCGAGAGUUCCGAUCACAACGAUAGAUUGUAUAGUUAGCUGCCAACUCGGUAUUCGCAAUGUCGGAAUGAAGCCACGUUUCGGUAAAAAUUACCACGUCGAAAUCACAGGAAAGCAACGAGUGAAGCAAAGCGUUCGUUUUAGUACGUAAACCACGGACGUUUUGAUAAUAAAUGGUCAAGAAAUCACGAGUGCUGAUUGAAGUUCUUUGUUAAGUUAUGUUUCGUAAAAGGAUUU